GGCGACCGGCGCACGGGUGCGUAACGCGUAUGUAAUCUACCUACAACAGGGGGAUAGCCCAGAGAAAUUUGGAUUAAUACCGCAUAGUACAUUUGAUAUGGCAUCAUAUUAAUGUUAAAGAUUUAUCGGUUGUAGAUGAGCAUGCGUAAGAUUAGCUAGUUGGUAAGGUAAUGGCUUACCAAGGCGACGAUCUUUAGCGGGUCUGAGAGGAUGAUCCGCCACACUGGUACUGAGAUACGGACCAGACUCC
rnacentral:rRNA from 1 species